rnacentral:miRNA from 1 species
GAGUGUGUGUGUGUGUGUGUGUGUGUGUGUGUUGCUGCAAGAUGCAGCGCAUCUGCCCUCAUGCAGA